rnacentral:misc_RNA from 1 species
GAGAACCCUCACCUGCCUAUCCUUCUAAAUACUUGGAAGGUGAUAAAUUAUUAAUACGCUAGGUGGCAUACGACAAUUGGAUCAUAAUCAAUUUAUUGAUUUCUUAAAAAUAACUAAAAAAUCUAUCUAGAGAUGCAGGACUCUCAUCUUACCAUAUCUCGUAGCUCCAUUUGUUGCAUACCCAUCAACCACCAGUUAUUAUUUUCUCGUUUAUGUGUUGUUGUAUUCUUCUUUCCACUGUAUUGCCAUCAUUUUAAUGAAGAGUUUAUAUUAACUUCUCGUUAGAGUUAAACCUUUAUUUGUUUUUGCUUGUUAUGGGUUCAGUUGAAUCCUUGUUGGAGAAUAAUGCAAGAAAGUUCAUCAAGAGAAAAGAUAGCGAUGCUGAAGAAGCAGGUUUUUAUCAAAAUGAAUCUUCACCUGCCUUCAUUUUCUUGAUUUUUCUUUUGUUUUUAUAUAAAAUGUGUUUUUCCAUAUUAUGACCUAUCAAAUCAGUUUUCUUAGUUCAUAGCCUGUCCUUGAUUCUGUAUAUUCUGAUCAACAUUUCAUUUUAAAAAUUUCUGAAAUACCAAAGAGAAUAUGCAAAAUGGUGCUGUGAAUGCGUCCUUUUUAGUUAAUCUGCUAUUUAUGAUAUCCAUGGAUGCUUGUUCAUGUCUCAUUCUUUGAUUCACAUUCCCUUAAUCUCAUCUCUGUUUCUGUAGAAUAGCUUCUAUGCAUAAAUGUAAUAUUCACCUGAAGCUGGUAAUUUCAUUUCUGAUAUAGGAGAUUUAGUUUAAUUUGCCUUCCAUAUGAUGUUUUAGACAUAUUUGUUUUACCUUACCAAAAAGAAGUUGCCUUAGUCCAUGACUUGGUGUCCCUUGUUUUUGAAUUCCUUACUUUUGAUAGUCAAAAUUAUCAGGUCGAGCAUUGGAAGAGCUCAGAAGUUCUCUUUACAAUGAUUUUCGAACUUCAGAAGGAGCCAAGCGGCAACAGCAACGAUUUUGUGGGCCGGUUGUGGCUAUGACCUUCAAUUUCAUGGUGGCCGUGGGGGUUAUUAUGACAAACAAAUUAGUCAUGGGAAAAAUUGGCUUUAACUUCCCAAUCUUUCUCACAUUGAUCCAUUAUACCACUGCGUGGAUUCUGCUUGCCAUUUUUAAGACAUUGUCGCUGCUUCCAGUCUCCCCUCCCUCCAAAAGUACUCCUUUCACUUCACUCUUCUCUUUGGGAGUUGUUAUGUCUUUCGCCUCUGGCCUUGCGAAUGCCAGCCUUAAGCAUAACAGGUUACGAUUCAGACUUGAACAAUUUCUUUUGUUACCAAGAAACUUGUCAUUUCCUUACUCUUUUGUUCAUUCGCAGUAUUGGUUUCUAUCAAAUGGCAAAAAUUGCAGUCACUCCUACCAUUGUUCUUGCAGAGUUUGUUCUGUUUAGAAAAUUCAUUUCAUUUAAAAAGGUUUUGUCUCUAGUUAUUGUUUCAGUGGGCGUGGCAAUUGCAACAGUAACAGAUUUACAAUUCAACUUUUUUGGUGCUUGUAUUGCAAUUGCAUGGAUCAUUCCAAGUGCUAUAAACAAAAUUCUUUGGUCAAAUCUGCAACAACAAGCCAAUUGGACUGCUCUUGCGUUGAUGUGGAAGACUACCCCAGUAACAAUUUUGUUUUUAUUAGCAUUGAUGCCAUGGCUAGAUCCACCAGGGGCGUUAUUGUUCCAGUGGAAUUUACACAGCUCAUCUGCAAUUUUCACAUCAGCUCUUUUGGGAUUUCUCCUACAAUGGUCGGGUGCUUUGGCUCUUGGGGCAACAUCUGCAACCUCUCACGUGGUUUUAGGACAAUUUAAGACUUGUGUGAUUUUAUUGGGUGGCUAUCUACUUUUCAAUUCAGAUCCUGGGUUUGUGAGCAUCGGUGGAGUUAUCAUAGCUCUAUGUGGAAUGUCUGCUUAUACAUCACUCAACUUACAGGAGUCCCGAGAAAAUUCGAUCAACCAACUUCAGAAGCAAACCUUACCUGUAUCAAAAUCCAAAACAGAAUCUAAAGCAGCUAGUGAAGAUACCACAAACUUAGAUGUAACCAUAACCAGUAGUGCAAAUGCUGUCUAGGUAGGAAUGUUUUGUACAAUUUUUGUCUGUGGUUAGAAAGAAUAUACAGUCAUAGGAAUUUUGAUUCAACUAGUGAAGUAUAUGUGGAGAAAAAAAAAAAAAAGAUUUACAGUCUUUAAAAUUUGACAAUGAGAGCAAGAAAGAAGAUGUGGAUUUUUGAAACUGUAAAGCAUGAGACUGUACUAUUCUUUUGAUACCAAUUUGUAAGAGGUGAGAAUACUUUGAUAGAGCUUCUGUAAUAUUAUGUUUUAAGUUUGUUACUUCAUGUAAUAUAGGCAAGUUAAAUGUGACAAGACAAGAAAAAUGGAAUAAC